rnacentral:rRNA from 1 species
AUUGAACGCUGGCGGCAGGCCUAACACAUGCAAGUCGAGCGGAUGAAGGGAGCUUGCUCCUGGAUUCAGCGGCGGACGGGUGAGUAAUGCCUAGGAAUCUGCCUGGUAGUGGGGGAUAACGUCCGGAAACGGGCGCUAAUACCGCAUACGUCCUGAGGGAGAAAGUGGGGGAUCUUCGGACCUCACGCUAUCAGAUGAGCCUAGGUCGGAUUAGCUAGUUGGUGGGGUAAAGGCCUACCAAGGCGACGAUCCGUAACUGGCCUGAGAGGAUGAUCAGUCACACUGGAACUGGGACACGGUCCAGACUCCUACGGGAGGCAGCAGUGGGGAAUAUUGGACAGUGGGCGAAAGCCUGAUCCAGCCAUGCCGCGUGUGUGAAGAAGGUCUUCGGAUUGUAAAGCACUUUAAGUUGGGAGGAAGGGCAGUAAGUUAAUACCCUGCUGUUUUGACGUUACCAACAGAAUAAGCACCGGCUAACUUCGUG